AAAAUCCGUUUAGACAAUGCUAGGAUGUGAUGGGGAAGCCCUUCGGGGCGAAGUAGCUGAUUUCACACUGUCAAGAAAAGCUUCUAUCGAGUUUAAAGGCGCCCGUACCGUAAACCGACACAGGUGGGUGAGGAGAGUAUCCUAAGGCCAGCGAGAGAACUAUUGUUAAGGAACUCGGCAAAAUGACCCCGUAACUUAGGGAGAAGGGGUGCCUGUCUAUGACAGGCCGCAGAGAAUAGGCCCAAGCGACUGUUUACCAAAAACACAGGUUUCUGCUAAGUCGCAAGACGAUGUAUAGGAGCUGACGCCUGCCCGGUGCUGGAAGGUUAAGGGGAUCUGUUAGAGCAAUCGAAGCAGUGAACUUAAGCCCCAGUAAACGGCGGCCGUAACGAUAACGGUCCUAAGGUAGCGAAAUUCCUUGUCGGGUAAGUUCCGACCCGCACGAAAGGCGUAACGAUUUGGGCACUGUCUCAACAAUAGACUCGGUGAAAUUGUAAUCCCGGUGAAGAUGCCGGGUACCUGCGACAGGACGGAAAGACCCCAUGGAGCUUUACUGUAGCUUGACGUUGGGUCUUGGUACUACAUGUACAGGAUAGGUGGGAGACUAUGAAGCAUGGACGCCAGUCUGUGUGGAGUCAUCCUUGGGAUACCACCCUUGUAGUACUGGGAUCCUAACCAUAGGCCUUGAAUCAGGUCUUGGAACACCGUCAGGUGGGCAGUUUGACUGGGGCGGUCGCCUCCUAAAAAGUAACGGAGGCGCUCAAAGGUUUCCUCAGCACGGUCGGAAAUCGUGCGAAGAGUGUAAAGGCAAAAGGAAGCUUGAUUGCAAGACAUACAGGUCGAGCAAGGACGAAAGUCGGACUUAGUGAUCCGGUGGUACCGCAUGGAAGGGCCAUCGCUCAACGGAUAAAAGCUACCCUGGGGAUAACAGGCUUAUCUCCCCCAAGGGUCCACAUCGACGGGGAGGUUUGGCACCUCGAUGUCGGCUCAUCACAUCCUGGGGCUGUAGUAGGUCCCAAGGGUUGGGCUGUUCGCCCAUUAAAGUGGUACGCGAGCUGGGUUCAGAACGUCGUGAGACAGUUCGGUCCCUAUCCGUCGCAGGCGUAGGAAAUUUGAGAAGACCUGUCCUUAGUACGAGAGGACCGGGAUGGACGUACCUCUGGUGUACCAGUUGUUCUGCCAAGGGCAUGGCUGGGUAGCUAUGUACGGAAUGGAUAAGCGCUGAAAGCAUCUAAGCGCGAAGCCAACUUCAAGAUAAGAUUUCCCACCGUAAGGGUAAGACCCCAGGAAGACUACCUGGUUGAUAGGUCGAAGGUGUAAGUGCAGUAAUGUAUUUAGCUUAUCGAUACUAAUAGGUCGAGGACUUGAUCA
rnacentral:rRNA from 1 species